rnacentral:lncRNA from 1 species
UGGAUAACGUCCAUCCAUUCGUUUCCUCAUCCACUACACGUUCGUCGUCCACGUGGAUGCUCGUUCGUCCAUCCAUUGGUUUUAUCAUUCAUCUUAUAUUCGUCGUCGGCAUGGAUGUCCGUUCGUAUGUCCUCAACAAUGAGCGAUUAUUGUCCAACCUGCGGGGGGUGUUGUUCAGAGUCUCAGAUCAGUAUAGAAAUGUACUGGAACAAUUAUUAAUGAACCAUUCAAAUAAGAAAGUAACGACAAUGGGUGUAGAAUAACUGAACAAUACCGAAUAUCACGUUAUCAGGAAUUAUUAUAAAUAAAGAUUGUGAGUUUGUGAAAUAAUAUCCUCAGAGUCAAGUUUGCUUGCACAUUGCUGUUUUCAUAACAGUGGUCUCAAUUAGUCACCUGUGAAAUCAAUGAAAUCAGUUAAGUGAUCAGAUGAAGUUUGCACGUGUUGGUAUGAAGGGAUUAUAUUCCCAACUAAUACAUUUGAGUUUACAAUCGUGUUGAUAUACUCAGAGGUAUUUCAAUCACUUUUGAUGAUCUAUGAUGUACGACUGCAUCUAUCUAGGUGAUGUUUUACAAACUUGUAACUCUUAAUCGACAGUCAUUUGUUGCAUUAGGAAUAGCCAUGAAAAUUCUUUAAGUAAACAUAACCUCACUUAGAGUAUAGAUUCAAGAUUGAGGGCAAGUGCUCCAAAACGUGCAAAGAGAGCAAUGCAGUCACUUGUAGGGUUUAGUACAGCAUCAACCAGAAUUGCUAGUGUUAAUGUGUGUGUUUUUUCUAAUAAAAAAAAAUGCAUAGCAGCAAAUUUAGUUAUUGUUAAAUCAAGAAAAGACGAUGUUACCCAUUAUAUGAUCCUCAAGUUAUUUAGAACUUAGACAAUACUUUUGAUUUAGACACUAUUAAAAUCUUCACUUGAAUAAGUUUAAGACAUAUCCUGGGAGAUUUCAAGUUGGUCCUCGCCCAAGUUGUAGCUGGGUUUAGAAAUGAUCUAAUAACCCUUUCACAUAGUAGUCAUAGAAUACGAGCCUACUUGGUCUUAAAUGUAGAUACACUAGUGCCACUUCAUGCCCGUUGUUGGCCCCAGCACAUCCUUAGUUGUGCCAUUAGCCCCAUUCACCAUAAAAACAACCGUAUUUAUAUGGUAAAUAAAUUGCAAGAAAGAAGAAAAUAUUUUAAAACAUAUUAAAAGGAGUAUCAACUUUGUUGCGCAAAGAAAGAAAGAAGUCUUUGCUCCAACAAUUAAAUACCAAUUACACUUUUAAAUAUUUCCAACAAGAACUACGCAAAAAUCUUCCAGAAAAUACUUCAAAUUGUUCAAAAGGUAUAAUUGUCAGAAUAUAAAGAGCCAGAAGAGAGCAAGCAGUUGCCAUACGGAUCCACGAACGCCGAGGUUACACACAGAUUGUGUUCCAGGCUACAAGAAAAUGCAUCCGCUAAAAGAGAUCGGAAUGAACUGCAUUAUCGUCAUUUCAACUUGGAUUCCGAACCUCGAUCCGAGUUUCACCCCAACGGUUCUUAUGACUAAGGACAACCCUCCCCCCCUCCCCACACUGCAUGCGGACAUAGCACCUAAAACGACUGCGUACAACUCCCGAGACCCGAGUAUUAUGAUCUGUAAGCUUGUGUUACGUAGCUCGUAUCAUUAACUUCAAGAGCCAGAAAAGAACAAGCAGUUACUCUCCGGAUACAGGAACGCCUUGCUUACACAUUGAAGGUGAUGCGGGCUGCCUGAGAAAGUACCCGCCAACAACCACAUUCAUUGAUGAAAUGACCCAACUCACUAGGCAUUUGUAAGAACAGCUUUUGAAAACAGAACUCCAUUGUGGAAAAAAAAAAAAAAAAAAAAAAAAAAAAAAAAACGCCAAGAGGCAGGCAAAUUAAUCUCCUCAGAUCAGAUCUUUUGGUGUAUAUUUGAAAGCCUUCAUAGAUGACCUCAAGAACUUCAGUCUGCAUCAUCAGAGUUUAACACACUGGAACCAGACGGCAAGCAAAGACAAUACCUUUACCAUACAGACGAGACAUGUUCAUAUUGAAGCAACAGUCAAAACCAAAGAGACGGCUAACAGCAAACCCUAAAACUGAGCGCACUUCUCGGCGAGGAGAAGCCCACACAUGGAAGAUGA